GUCUACAUCCGUAUCACCCUAUACACUCCCAAUCUCAUCUGAUUUCAGAAACUAAGCAGGGUUAGGCCUGUUUAGUACUUGAAUGAAAGAGAGAGAGAGCUGUUGAAC
rnacentral:rRNA from 1 species